rnacentral:rRNA from 1 species
GACGAACCGUGCGAACGUUGUUCGGAAUCACUGGGCUUAAAGGGUGCGUAGGCGGGUUGUCCAGUCUGGGGUGAAAUCCCACGGCUCAACCGUGGAACUGCCUCCGAUACUGACGACCUCGAGGGAGGUAGGGGCGAGCGGAACUGUGGGUGGAGCGGUGAAAUGCGUUGAUAUCCAUAGGAACUCCGGUGGCGAAGGCGGCUCGCUGGACCUCUUCUGACGCUGAGGCACGAAAGCUAGGGGAGCAAACGGG